GCCUAGCAGGCUCUUCGCGCCUUGUCCGCUUCUGUCUGAGGCGCCUCUCCUGACACUGCUGCCCUGCCCUUCGCCCCUGGGGCCUCCUCGGGCACCCCACAGACUGUUGUCCCCUCAGCGGCGCACUCCUCUGCCGCCCCGUCGGUCCGCCUCAGGCCGGGCCCCACUGCCCACAGCCUCCCCUCAGCGGCGGCCACCUCGGGGGCCACCAUCUUUGCUGUCGACGCCACAGCCUGAUCGCCGCCCCAGUUGAGGUACCGCCUGGCGCCAUGUCUGCCGCAGGAGAAGGAGACCUGGCCGCAGGUGGCCUGGACAGGCCUGUGGGCGUGCCGGGGGCGUGGGCCCUGGCGGCGGGCUGGUCGGCGACUCGGGGCCCCAGGGGGCGGCGAGAGUCACGGCGGCGGCGGCGGGAGCCCUCGGGGAGGCGGCGGGGGAGCCGGGGGCCGGCGGCCCGGAGGGCGGGAGCGCCGAGGAGGACUCGGACAUCGAGCCGGCAGAGGAGGGCGAGGAGGCGGCGGCGGGCCGCCUGGCGGUGGACGCGGCGCAGUUCCCGCGGGCGAGCUUACGCCUCCUGUUCCUGGAGUUCGCGCAGUUACUGCUGCGCCGCCUCUUCUACAAGAACCACGUGCUGCUACGGCCCUGGCCUCCAGCGCCCGACGGCUAGGCCCAGCGCCCCGCGCCCCGCGGGCCGGCGCCGCCAGAGCCGGCCGCCUGCGCCCUGCCGCCUGGUCCAGAGCCCGGGUGAGGGCCGCGACCCAGGAGCCGGGGGCGGAGGCCGCGACCCAAGGAGCCCGCGGAGGAGGCCGCCGCCCCGGAGGAAACAACUAAAUAUCGGUGUGAAAACUCGAAUGAAGAGGCCCACGACGCUGAAGACAAGGACGAAAAAGAGAGAGUUUAACAAAAAACAAGAAGGACCCGAAAACGCUCUGGACCCCACAGACAGCACACCGAGAAAAUCCAGUUGGGAGGAAUAGAAAGAAGAUGGAGAAAGAAGAACGAACCUGCUCUUCACCCUUUAGGUUUUUCGUUUUUUAGAAGCCCAAGGGAAUUUUAUCAACA
rnacentral:lncRNA from 1 species